UCUCCUGCUCUGCCUUUAACUCCAGCUAUAAGAGUUCCUGGAAAAUUACAAUCCUGCAUUUGAUCAUUUGACACAAUAAUCAUCUCAGUUUCCCUUUUCAUCUGUCACUCCCCUGCAUCAUUAAUGAGUUAAACUUUAUAGUACUUCUGAUGACAUUGGGAAAUGUGACCAUGUGGAAAGCAAAAUCCAAAAGCUGAAGUUGGCAAAGUGUGAGGAGCUCAGGCAGAGCAGACUUGACAGCUGGUUCAAGCCAGAAGCAUCUGCCUGAAUGUUGCAGAUUGAAUACACUGCCAAAAAGCAAGAUGAUUUCAUAUAAAGUCUGUCUUAUAUGGCUUUAUAUUGGACAAGGGUGGCAUUCUUUCUCUUUUCAAAGGAAGUUGUUUACUGCUCAGAUCUUCAAGCACCUGACACGGAAACAGCAGGGACAGUCAAUCCUGGCAAUAGAGAUAAAGCAAACCCAGCAGGACAGAUCAAAAUAACAAGUUGAAGUCAAGGGUAGCCAAACAUUUUACAAAUCUCUGUAGCUAAAUACCAUCUACAUACACUUCUAAGAAAAAAAGUUCUCAAAUUAAGCACUAAGAGGCAGAUUAAAUUCCAGGAUUUACAUGCUGCAAUAACCAGCACUCUUGUGCCUUCAAAUGAAGGGCAAAAUGAAAAAAGGGAAAAGAAAAAGGAAAAAAUAAUGUGAACUGGACAGAGAAUUCAGUAGAUUAUCACAAGCAACUGUAGGUACUGUAUAAAAUUACCUAUUUAUAUUAGGAGAACUAUUCCUUUGUUAAGAGGGUGGAACAGUUAAUUAGGUGACCAUACAGCUUGCAUGCAUUUAUAACCCAGGUACUAUGCUCCUGAACAUGAAUUCCAGUUUUAGUGGGGAAAAUGACAGACACUACUGAUAAUGUAUUAAAUUAUUAAUUUUUUUUGUUUAAGUAAGUGGUUAUUUUGCUCACUGGUACAUACAUUCCAGGAAAAUCUAGUGUCCCAAGCUAGAAUGAAAAGCCUUUUUCUUUCCCUGCAUGAACUUAUGCAAUGCUCUCUAGGAAUCUGUUCUUGAGUUUUACUAAACUUUUCUGUGCUUGUAGAUUUUCUUUUUUAAACCUGAUUUUAUUAAUUCACAGAAGACUACAUAGCUCAACUUUCUUCUGACUUGCAUUUUCAUAUUAACUAUGAGCCCAGAUCAUAGGCUAGAACUGCACUGUGCCAGAACCUUACAAACAGAGUGAAUACGUAAACUAUAGGCUCUUUGGGACAGGAAUCAAGAGUUAGGCAAUAAUGGAUGGGUAUAAACAAUCCAGCAAAGUACUGGAAAUUAAAACUUUCAUGAGUGGGUCCUUCGAAAGUCUGUGGACAGUUUUAAUUCAAACCUUGGGAAACAAACAUGUUGCUCAAUGCAACACCUCCAGAAAUAAACCUGUUAAGGUGGAAAUGUUACAGAAACAAAAUGAUAAUAAUUUAGAACUUCAUUAUUCCUGAGUUUGUUUUGGAAUGAUACUGCCAGGGACGGUUCUUUUGCAAGGGCACAGCAUGCCUCCUGACUGUACUCCCUCAGCCAUUUAGGAUUUUUGGUAAUUCCAAUUACUUUUUAGGAACUGUUCCUGACCAUAGUAUUCACCAAACUCUGCACUGGGCUGAGCUAAAACCACAGCCAUGACCAUGCUAAGGCAUGGAUGGUAUGGAAGACGUGCUAGUGCUUGGUCCUUUCUAGAGAUUUAACUGGUGAGAAUAGCUAUGAGCUGGAGUACAACACAAGCAAGGAUUUCAGAAUCAGUUGGCACAGGUUGUUCCAGAGAAGAAUCUGCUGUCCUAGGUUCAGCUGUAACAGUUAUUUUUCUCCUUCCUUGUAGCUGGUGAAGUGCUGUGUUCCAGCUUUAGUCUGAGAACAAUGCUGAUAACUCACCAAUGUUUUAGUUCUUCCUAAGUGAUGCUUACCCUGAUCAAGGACUUUUCAGUCUCACGCUCCACCAGUGAGGAGGGACACAAGAAACUGGGAGGAAGCAGAGACAGGACACCUGAUGCAAACUAGCCAAAGGGGUAUUCCAUACUACAAUACGUCAUGCCCAGCAUAUAAACUGGGAGGGAGUAACCCAGAAGGGCAGCUCACUGCUUGAGUCCAGUUGGGUAUUGGUCAGCGGGUGGUGAGCAAUUGUAUUGUGCAUCAUUUGAGUUUAUUUUUUUCUUUCCCUUUUUAGUUUUAUAUUCUCUCCCCUUGCUAUUUCCAUUAUGAUUAUUAUUAUUAUACUUUAAUUACUGGACUGCUCUUAUCUCAACCUGUAGAGUUUACAUUCUUUCAAUUCUCCUCCCCAUUCUGCCCGGAGGAGGGGAGAAGGAGAGUGAGCAAAUGGCUGUGUGGUUCUGCGUUACCAGCUGGGUAAACCACAACUGUCCUGCAUCAUGGUCACACCAUCAAUAAGAACAGAGUGCAAAAGCACAGAAGGAUGAAGGUGUCCUGCUGUUAACGAAAGCUUACUGCUGCUCAGUAUUUAUGUUGCUCCUUAAAAAAGCAUGACCUUGCACAUGGAACAAUUAAAUAUGUAGAGCAUUAUGCUGUGGGUUAUUCUAUAUCAAUCAGCAGAUGGUUGGACAUGAUAAAUAACACAAUACUGCACUUCAAAGCUGAGGCUCUAGCUUCUGGAUAUCUGGAAGCAGAGAAGGGAAAGCGUGGCUGAGGCUGUGGAAAGACAGUGGUUUUGAUUCAGUAUUUUACAAUCAUGUUUUUUUUCUAGUAUAGUAGUGAAAGACCAUAGUGGGACAACAGGUUAGAGCAGUCCUGGAUGGUGAUGGCUGAAGAAUACCACCCCCUUGGAGGGAACACAAUACAGGAUACCUUUCCACAUGAAUAUGGCAGGCAAAGCACUGGUCAGGAUCCACAGCCAGCACAGACACAGCCAGUAUUUACACCAGGGAUGGGGUUAUUUACCAGCACGUCUCAUCGCCUACUGACUGCCCACCGGCAAGGGAUUAGGGAUAUGCCUGAGAAAUGAAACUGCAGAUACUUCUGAGCUCAGUUGCAUAUUGUUUUCUCCUUGGAAUUAAGUAAACAUCUUGUUUGUUGAGCCCAAGCAGAAACUGUUUUCACUGACUCUUCUGUUCUAAAACUGAGGUGAACUCAUUAGUGUAUUGGUGUAACUGGGGAUGAAGGAGAACAUGAAGCAGGGAUUCGAGUAUGUGAGCACCAAGGGCCAUCACCCAGCAGUGCUGUCGUAGUUGUGUGUUGUACAAAGAUGAGCAAAC